AGUAUUUUCUGUAGAGAAGGCUGUUCAGAGAGAGAAAGUCAAAUGAAAGAAGAACAUCUUGAAUUUAUACAAUGACUGGGAGAAGGCUUAAUGUGUUCUUAGAAUUGUAACUCCUAUUUGGAGAGAUUGCAAAAAGGAGCACCAGGGACAGAACCCUUGGAAGGGCCACAGGGGAUGGCAAAUGGCUCUCUCAGUUAGCUGGCUGAGCAUGUGAGCAGUCCGUACGACCAAGAUCAUUGUUGUCUCCAGCAGUGGAGAGCACCAGUUGCAGGAAUUUCAUCAGGGGCAUACAAGUCGUGGAUUUGACUGGGACAAUUUCUUGUACAUUUCCAUUGUUUUUAACAAGAGGAGGAAGCUGUGCUGUGAAGGAUCCUUUUUCAUCAUGAUUAUUGCAUCCACAGAAGCAGUGAUAAAUUCUAACAGAUAAUGCAACUCAGUCUACUUGGAUGUUCACACCUGAGACUGGAGAAGACCUGCUGCCUUCUGCAGAGCCAAACAUUCCUCACAUGCUCCUCCACAAUGCUAGUUAAUGCAGCAAGAAUAGUCUUAUAUAGACUAUAAACUCCUGGUACACUGUGUCUACAUUGCUCACUGCAGUAUCCCAACAUCUAAGACCAUGGUCUUAGAUGUCUGGUACAGGACUGGUGCUCAGUAUGCAUUGAAUGAAUAAAUGAAUGAAUAUAGCAAAGCA
rnacentral:lncRNA from 10 species